GUCCUUAGUACGAGAGGACCGGGAUGGACACACCGCUGGUGUACCAGUUGUUCCGCCAGGAGCAUCGCUGGGUAGCUACGUGUGGACGGGAUAAGUGCUGAAAGCAUCUAAGCAUGAAGCCCCCCUUGAGAUGAGAUUUCCCUUUGUAGAGAUGCCUCUGAGACGAAGAGGUUGAUAGGUCCGGUGUGGAAGCGUGGCGACACGUGCAGCAGACGGAUACUAAUCCAUCGAGAUCUUCUCU
rnacentral:rRNA from 1 species